rnacentral:rRNA from 1 species
UACGAAGGGGACUAGCGUUGUUCGGAAUUACUGGGCGUAAAGCGCGCGUAGGCGGACUGGAAAGUUGGGGGUGAAAUCCCAGGGCUCAACCCUGGAACUGCCUUCAAAACUCCCAGUCUGGAGUUCGAGAGAGGUGAGUGGAAUUCCGAGUGUAGAGGUGAAAUUCGUAGAUAUUCGGAGGAACACCAGUGGCGAAGGCGGCUCACUGGCUCGAUACUGACGCUGAGGUGCGAAAGCGUGGGGGGCAAACAGG